rnacentral:rRNA from 1 species
UACGUAGGUGGCAAGCGAUACUCGGAAUCACUAGGCGUAAAGCGCAGGUAGGAGGUUUAGUAAGUCUGUUGUGAAAGCUCCCGGCUUAACUGGGAGAGGUCAACGGAAACUGCUAGGCUAGAGUGCGGUAGAGGUAGCUGGAAUUCCCGGUGUAGCGGUGAAAUGCGUAGAUAUCUGGAGGAACACCGGUGGCGAAGGCGGCAUCCUGGACCGGUAUUGACGCUGAGGCGCGAAAGCCAGGGGAGCAAACGGG